UACAGAGGAUGCAAGCGUUAUCCGGAAUGAUUGGGCGUAAAGCGUCUGUAGGUGGCUUUUUAAGUCCGCCGUCAAAUCCCAGGGCUCAACUCUGGACAGGCGGUGGAAACUACCAAGCUGGAGUACGGUAGGGGCAGAGGGAAUUUCCGGUGGAGCGGUGAAAUGCGCAGAUAUCAGGAAGAACACCAAUGGCGAAAGCAGGUCUCUGGGCCAUUACUGACACUGAGAAGCGAAAGCAUGGGGAGCGAACAGG
rnacentral:rRNA from 1 species